rnacentral:lncRNA from 1 species
AAAAAAUCUUGUUUUCCCCUUUUUUUGCCCCUUAUUUCUAAAUGGUUUGAGCUGUAACCCCCAAAGUCAAUCCUAACCAUUCCUUUGUGGUAUGGAAACUUGUGGUUUAAUUUCAGAGAGAUUCAUACACUUAAACAAUAGUUAAAUUGUUGUCUGGAAACUACUGAAAUGCUUAUUUGGGCCCCUUUUUAGUCUUUAAUUAUUAGAUAAAGCAAAAAGUUUUCAGUAUGUUGUUAAAAAUUUUAAUGAAAAAAAUUGUGAAAUGAGUUUUUCUGCAGUUUUCUGAUAAGUUUGUAGCCACCCUCGUCCCUUGAGCAAUGUUGAGAACUGUGUUUCUAAGUGAGCAACUUGUACAUAAUUUGGUAGAUAAUAAUACACAUUAACCCUAUUUAACAAAAUUUUCCUUUUAUCUUUCUAACUAAUCAUUUCCUUUCUCAGCAAUGUUGAGUGAUAGAAAAAAUUAUCACUACAAACUAAAUGUACACGUUUAGUUGUCAAUGAAAUCAAAA